GGCAAGUUAAGGCUUACGUAGGUGACCUGCGGAGGAUCAUUACAGAGUUCAUGCCCGAAAGGGUAGACCUCCCACCCUUGUGUAUUAUUACUUUGUUGCUUUGGCGAGCUGCCUUCGGGCCUUGUAUGCUCGCCAGAGAAUACCAAAACUCUUUUUAUUAAUGUCGUCUGAGUACUAUAUAAUAGUUAAAACUUUCAACAACGGAUCUCUUGGUUCUGGCAUCGAUGAAGAACGCAGCGAAAUGCGAUAAGUAAUGUGAAUUGCAGAAUUCAGUGAAUCAUCGAAUCUUUGAACGCACAUUGCGCCCCUUGGUAUUCCGGGGGGCAUGCCUGUUCGAGCGUCAUUUCAACCCUCAAGCUUAGCUUGGUAUUGAGUCUAUGUCAGUAAUGGCAGGCUCUAAAAUCAGUGGCGGCGCCGCUGGGUCCUGAACGUAGUAAUAUCUCUCGUUACAGGUUCUCGGUGUGCUUCUGCCAAAACCCAAAUUUUUCUAUGGUUGACCUCGGAUCAGGUAGGGAUACCCGCUGAACUUAAGCAUAUCAAUAAGACGGAGGAAAA
rnacentral:rRNA from 1 species